rnacentral:rRNA from 1 species
GAUGAACGCUGGCGGCGUGCUUAACACAUGCAAGUCGAACGAAGCACUUUAUUUGAUUUCCUUCGGGACUGAUUAUUUUGUGACUGAGUGGCGGACGGGUGAGUAACGCGUGGGUAACCUGCCUUGUACAGGGGGAUAACAGUUGGAAACGGCUGCUAAAACCGCAUAAGCGCACAGCAUCGCAUGAUGCAGUGUGAAAAACUCCGGUGGUAUAAGAUGGACCCGCGUUGGAUUAGCUAGUUGGUGAGGUAACGGCCCACCAAGGCGACGAUCCAUAGCCGACCUGAUAGGGUGACCGGCCACAUUGGGACUGAGACACGGCCCAAACUCCUACGGGAGGCAGCAGUGGGGAAUAUUGCACAAUGGGCGAAAGCCUGAUGCAGCGACGCCGCGUGAGCGAAGAAGUAUUUCGGUAUGUAAAGCUCUAUCAGCAGGGAAGAUAAUGACGUUACCUGACUAAGAAGCACCGGCUAAAUACGUG